GGGGUAGCUUUAAUGUGAUGAAUUAAAGAGGACUGUAAAUCCUCUGCCAUGUGCUAUUUAAGGUUUGAUUCCUUUCUGCCCCAC
rnacentral:tRNA from 2 species